CUUGCAGAUCACGAGACCUCGUCCGUUCUUUCCACCCAUCUCUCGUCCUGGCAGCAUCUCAGUCCCCAGCCGUCUUAUCGUUGGUAGUAGAGUCUAUCACUGCUGUGUCUGGAUGCAUCAGCCUCAGAAGCUGGUGGCUACAAGAGACGCUUGCAGAGCACUGCAUGCUUUGGCAUUGUGCACUGUGCUCAUGACCUGAAGCUCAGCAUCCUUCCCAGCAGAAUGGUAGAAAUGAGUUGGACAAAGCUGUGCGCUGGCUUUUUACCAUCAAGGCUAUGUCUUACAUUAUUCUCUCAGGGCAUCUUUUGUGCAGUGCAAAUGGAAAGACCAAGGGGCCAAGGAGCAAAGUGUACAAAUUCGAUUCCUGUGUCUACCCACAACUCUCUCUUUUGGUAGAGACUUGAUGUUCUGAAGUGUUAUGUGUGAACUGCUCCCAGUUUCUCAUCUGUUUAGGCCAGAAAUUAAAUGCUUCAAAAAUGCAGUGGGACAGAAAUAUUUGCCCUAUACGGAAAUAUAAGUAUUUCUGAAUAUUUAGCAUUUAGUGGAGUGCUUCAGACCUCUCCACUCCUUGAUGUCUGUGGUAAGUCUUUUGUAUGCUGCUUCCUUCCAGCUUUAUGUACCACAUGAUACCAAAUUACUGUAGCAGAGAUUGGGAAACCUCUGUUUAGCAGGUCUGGUUUACGGUUAUGCUAAAAAUAGAGGCAAAAUGUGCAACUCAUUUCAAAUACAAUUUCUUCACUGAGAUCACAGGAUCAUUUAAAGCUGUCCCAAUACUUAGGGUGAGUGUCCAGAUAGUCUGGACUUUUUUUUUUUUGAGUUUGGAAGUGGGACAACUUACUCACUGUGGAUGAUUCAUAUCUUUAUGUCCUAGUUUGAAGUGGUUCAUCACGCUGUGAUCACAACUCCAAAGGUGUCAGGUGAUCAUCAGACAGUACCUAUGCCUAUAAGAUGCUUUGUUUUUUUCCACUUUUCUAGAAUUUUCGUAACUUACUGACCUCUACCCCAAGCCCAAACAAUUUAGGUUCAAGAACAAUCAUUAGGAAACUCUUUACAAAACAAUUAAUAUAUUGAGUUCCUUAAUAGACAAAGCUCUGAAAGCCAAAGCUCUGAAGACUAAAGUGUGGAGAUAUUACCCUUCCCAUGGAUUCUUAAAGCACUUUUCCAUACUCUUUUGCAAAGGUUUUAUCUUUUGCAGUUUUAAAUCUUUUUGUCUAGACAGCAGUAAGUAACUGGCAUACCUUUCGGUCAAGAAUGGUGUGGUUAAAUCUUUCAGAUAAAUAUAGCUAGAUAUUUAAAUACGAAAAUAAAUGUCUAAAGCUCUACUUAUUAGUAGCAUCUGUCUCGUGCUUGAUGUGUACUUCUCAGAAAUAUUCUAAUACCUACAGUGGCUAUAUUUAAGCAACCUUGCUUCUGCUUUGGUGAUCACAUGUCAUGCCAUGCCUAUAUUGUUGAUUUUGUUGCUAAGCCCCACUGUGAGUUCUAGUUUCCAGUGUUUCAGAUUACAUGUUUAAACCCGGCCUUCCAACUGUUUCACGCUAUCCUGCAUGUCCUCAUCUACCGAAGCUGAUACUCUGGAGGCCCUCUCUUUCCACACUGGUCCACAUUGGCAUGAAAAAAUAAGUGGAAGGAGGAGUUAGGAUUACAGAUUUUUUGUUUAUGAUCGUUAUUGACUUUCCACUUUGGAAAUGUCACUAAGAGGAAGCCUUAGGAAUCACAUAUUGGGAGUAUGUGGUCAGCAGAUUGGCCUCUGCCACCUUCCCCCAUUCCUGGAGAAUUUCAUGUGCUCCCAACGAAAAAAUAAGGAAAAAAGCCCUGGAAAAUAUGAACCUGAGAGACAUCAAAGCUGAGAAACUGAAGACAACUAGGAGGAAAAACUCUACUUUAUAACUCUUUUCCAUAAGCCUUCUAUUUGAUAUUUUUCUUUAGGACAGAUAAAGAAAAAAAAAACGAUCUUCUGCACUCUUCUUUGGAGGAUUACAUUUAGGUCCAUCUGCGUUGCUGGAAGAGAGCUCUGUACACCUGUGAGGUUUCAAGUAACUUACAAUAUAAAGUGAGCAAAGAAACGCAAACAUCCUUACCACCAAGGCUAGGCGGGGCAGUACUGAAGGGAUUAUUCUAGCAACUCCUGAAAUGCAAAACCUUCUGUGGCAAGAGAGAAAAGGCAGUCUUGUGACUACGGCUCUGACCUAGAGGACAUGCUCUCUCCAAGUAUGACUUCAUUCAGGUAGUAAGACCAAGAACUGCAUUAAAAAACAGAAAGAUUGGCCCUAGGCAGACAGGGAAAAAACUGUGGUGAAGGGAUAUUCAGAAAAUCGUCAUGCUUCUCUGCAAGGUUCUCUGAAGAACUCCACUGCAAGAAAAUAAAAAUGGUAUACUUGACUGGGGAGAUAUUUUUCUAAUGGAUCUUGGUGCUUCAUCGUCUGGUUUGGCAGCCCAUGUCAGCCAUGAAAGUAUAUUUGGUAUGAGCACCCCAUUUCAUCAGAUAGGAAGUAACCAUGUGUUAUAACCUUUUGUUGACUUCUACACCGUGGUUCCUCUGGAAAAUAUGUAGUGAAGCUGUUGUUCCUGAUAUUUCUUGAGUAUGGAAUUUCCCUUAGGAAUACUCAAUUUAGACCAGUCCCCUGACCACUCUGAGGUUUGUCACAGAACAAACGUCUCCCUUGCCCGAGCAAGAUGGCCCCCUCCAGGAAAAAUGGCUCCUGAGGAACACUACAGCCUUCAACUAAAACAUAACUCUAGUUCGUCCUUCACGUGUGAAGCCAAUAAGGAUUCUCUACCACAAUUUUUGAACGUAUUUCCAAGUAUGGCAGGGUGCAGUGGCAGGCACAUAACAGGAAUUUUGGCAUGUAUUAGACGGUGCUCAACAACUCUGUUCUCUGAUCCAAACAUGCCCACCAAAAAUAACUUCAGUGAACAGCUUUUAUUUUAAUUAUUCCAGCGUGGGACUCAUGAAGUUUUGCCAACAGUCUGGUUUGUAAAGCUUUUUGUCUCUAAGCACAGAAACCCAUAUUGUGUAGUUAACUCCCCACUGGGAUUUUCCUGAUCCAUACAUAGGUCUGUUCUGCAACCUCAUCUUUCUUUACCUAUCACUUGCUUUUCAUGCUGUUCACCCCACUGACUCCUUGAAAGCUCCCCUUUCUUUGCUUUUGUGACUGUUCUUUCCCAACUCUCUCCUAAUUUUCUGUUUUCUCAUUCAACUCCACUUUUAGUGGCUGCUGGUGGAUAUUUGGUGGUUCCCUCAUAGUUCUGAUCUCUGCAGGGCUCUUUGUGAGCUCUGUGUGUGGGUUCCCCUCUCCCCUUUCUAUGCUCUCUGCCCUACCUACUGAAACUAUAAUAACAGAACAACUACAUUUUUUGCUAAUGACUUGAAGAUCUGCCUUUUCCUACCUGAUCUGUUUCCUUUUGUCACCGAAUCUUUCUGAGUUCUUCCCUAUUCCCUCUUCUUUUCCCCUUCCCUUCUCACCCAUGUCAUAAACCUCAAAAUAAAUGUAAGAAAAAAGCAUCCCUAUGGUUUCGCGGUAUAGACUUCUCUGUUCUGCAGAACCCUUCCAUGGCCCUGAGUUGACCGUGAUCAUUCUUCUCUCUUCAACUAUUUAUUUAACACUUUCUUUGUCCAAUUCUAAUUUGCUUUGUGAGGAAUCAUAUGCAAUUUGGAACAUGGCAAUGGUGCGGUAUUUAAGUGGUUUCUAUUACCUUGUAAGUAAUCUCAGAUAGGCAAUAAAUUGCCCCUUUCAAAAAGAAAAGACGUGAAAGAGAAAAAAAAUGGAGUCACUAUGAUGUUCAGUUUUGAUUAGGUUUAUUUCCUUUGGUUCAUUUCCUAAACAUGACAAAAGAAAGAGCCUUGGAAGGAAAGAGUGGGAACUUCCCAGAUCAGGAUAACAUAUAGCCUGGCAUUUCUCAGCACAGGCGUGGAUAAUUCAGAUCCCUUCAUACCUAGAGGGAAUGGAGCCCAGAUCUCCUGCAGUGGGAGGGAGCAUCCCAGCUGUAGUCCUAUUGCGCAAAGCUGCUGGCAGCACCAGCACCUUCUUCUCUCUUUGUUUUUGUGGAGGAGGGUGGAGAUCUCUGACUUGAGAUAGGCAACAAAAUUCCAUAGAGGCUUAAGAUAAUUCCAAUUUCCUGAGCAUUUCCUAAUGGCUAAUUUGGGCAGCUGCUGUUUGGGAUGUUUGCAUUCUUCAGUGCCCAAGGUCUGGAUCCCAGCAGGCAGGUACACACCUAGGAGUCAGGAGCAGCAAUUUUUUGGCACUGUGGGGCCAAAAUCCUGCUUGUGUCCAGACCAGAAUACUUGUCUGCACUUCAUUAAAUGUUUAGCGCUACCAUGCCUUGGUCUUUCUUGCCUUGAUAAGUACUACUAAUAUUAACAAUGUGGAUGACAUGAUAUUUGUUUUCAGCAUUUCUGUAACUUUCACAUGCCGUCUGUUACAACAUCUAUAAUACAAUGCUUAAAUGUGUGGAGCAAAACCAGAGGAAUAGCUUUGGAACAGCUAAAUUCACACACUAGUGCCGUUGAACUAGAUGAUCUCUGAAGAUUCCUUCAAACUGAAUAUUCUGUUCUGUUCUAUUAUCACAUUGAAGCUAAUAAAAAAAGCCUACAAGUUUCAAAAAAUGUGAGGGUAUUCUCCUGCCACAUGUGCCGUAUGUCCCUAAUAAGAUGUAAUGUUUUGUGAGAAUUCCUUCUCAUUCAAGAUAUUUUCAAACUGCUGGAUAUUCGUGUGCUGCUCUGUAUUUGACUCAGCCUGAAAUGAAAUAUCCAGCACUGGUGUGUUCAUUUUGUCUCACCUUUGGCCUGUACCUUGGUUCUGCUACCUUCCUUUCUGUGAAUAUGAAGUGGAGAGUAUGCAGUGGGAGACUGUCAAAAGUCUGGAGGUCCUUCAGUCUCAAAUUGCUUUUGAAAUUCUACUUUAGCAUCUCCAUAAGGCUCACAGAUAUUCUUGGCAAUUUCCAGUAGUCCUUAUCCAGAAGCAUUUAGAAUAUAAUUCAGAUGUAGAAUAGUAAAACUAAAGACAGAGAGAACAAAAGAGUGGAAUAACACUGCAUAUAGUUAGAAUAUCAGUGACUAUUAGGUGUAAAGGCUUGGAUAGAAGGACACAAUUAUUUUUCUUGAUUCACUGUGACAGCGUAAGAAAUCUUUCUAGAAGUCAGGUUUGAAUUAGAGGAGGGUUUUACACAAAGUCUGGAUGCUUAUUAGAGAAAGAGAUGCAAACACUGGACUUUGUUAUCUAGCAUAAAUAGUGGGAAAAAAUGGUUUGCUGAUCUUGUUCUCAUCAGUUUAUUUUCUCCCAAGGUACUGGUGCAUUUUCCCAUCUGUGAUUAAAAAUAUAGAUAACAAAGAAACUGUUGCCUUACAGUAAGUGUAAAGACAACAGAACCAGAAGCUGUGCUUUAUAGGAAGCAGGGGGAUGCUGCAAUAUUUGAGUAAGUAUUAGCCAGCAGUUUUUUGUUUUGUUUUGAUUCAGAUCAUCAGAAUUAAUGAAAGAGCUAUUACUUUAAAAAUUUUCAACUCUUAAAAAACAACGACCUCAGAUCUUGUCAGUUUGGUUCCUACUCACGGGAAAGUCACCAAAUCUCCCUUGUUUUGCUUGGGCCUCACUCAAACAUAACUGGCCUCAAGCUAGUAAGCAAGCCAGCAAAUGUCCUGGCUUGUAAAGAAAUCUGAUCCAACUCUGUAAACUGAACCCAGACUAAGAGCGGUGGUGAGGGGAACAUAUGGAAAAUUAAUGACAGAUAAUAGAAUGGUGGGACAGCCUUAAAUGAAAAAAAGAUUGUUAUUAAGUUUAUGCAGCAAUUCCAGCUAAUGGUCUUUUGGCUGGAGGGUCUUUUGAGCUAAGAAAGUUACAGAAUAGCUGAGCACUCCUUUUCACUUUGCCAGCACCAAAGCUCCAGAAAUGACUGCUGUACUGCCCUUACCACUUCUGCUUGUUCUUAAUUGAUACCUGUAGCAGAAUUACUUUAUAAGCUGGUUCAGCUGCGGCAGCAGUUUGGUAAGUACAGCAGUUCUGGUCCCACCUGUUUAAAUAAAUGGGAGCCUCAGGAAAAGGAGUGGAUUGGCAUUUGCUUGGGCUUAAACAGUGUAUGACAGCAAAAGCUAGGCUGAGAACUGCAAGCCUGGCCAAGCACUAGCAGGAGGUGGUAAGGGUGGAAUGGGUGUUUUCUUUUCUUCCUCCAUGGACCUCCAGGCAUUUUGCAAAGAUAAGCUGCUUGUGGUAUGGUGUCAUGAAUGGGGAAACUGUCCCAGGGAGCUCAAUAGUCACAUGGCCUCUCUCUGGUGAUGGGAAUGAGUUUCACAAUGAAAAGGAAAGAAGAAGGGAUCACUUUGAGGAAAGAGUGUAUAUUUCUGGAAUACUUGUGUCUUGUUUAUUUGGCUGUUGGUCUGGGGUGCUCAUCUAGCACAGACAUGAAACUAUGGUGCCACAUAGUAGUCACUUUUUGCUAAAAAGUGAUUUUUAUUUUAUUUUAUUUUAUUUGCCCACACUUGAAUUACUGCAGACCAGCUAAGAUGCCAAUUUUCUUCCUGGCUAAAGCCUAAAACACCCUUAUUCUUUCCCUUUCUCUUCAAGAUGGAGGACUAUGAAGCUGCCUUUACUUGCUGAGUAACUCAGGUGUGUCUCCAUUCCUUACCCCCAACUCCAGCUGAUCCCUCACCUUGAAGAAGGUUUUAUGUAUGUCUGAGGAAAGACAGCAAGGGCUAUGCUGAGGUAAAAGGACGAGUGGUGGUCUCCAUCUCUUUGCUGCUGUGUGACAGUCUAUGGCUGCUAGAUUACUGGUUUUGUUUCUUGGCGAGUAACUUAGAGGGAAGAGCAGAAUUUAUGCUCCUUCAGCUGUAGCCUCAGUACAGGAGAAAACUUGUUAUUUAGUCUUAAGUUUGUCUCUGUUCCCUUCAUAAGGUGUUUUUCUUUUAUAAUCUGAAGUGAGGACUGCAUGCUGUGAUCCUUGCAAAGCCAUUCCCCUUUCCCAGGAAUAUACCAUAACAUUAACACAGUGUCUAUAGUAUUUCUCAUUCUUUGCUCAUACUUGCAGUAUGGAGUAUGACACACCCUGUUAUCUAGCAAAAAGUAAAGUGUCAGCUGAAAUGGAGUGGCAGCAAAAAGUGUUUUAUACAUGGCUGUGAUAGAGGAGUAGGUCCUCACCCAGCUGAACAACAUCAUUACCAAAUGCAUUUCUGGCUUCAUUUGCCCUGCUGCGUGCCAGCAAAUGUUGAGCUUGAUGUUGAUUUGCCCACUCAGAGACCCUUUAUGGCCAAAAGUGGAAUAACUCACCUGGCAGUUAAAAUUUAAAAAUAAAUAAAAAUCUUGUUGCACUAUUUACCAUACCUUUCUUUUUCUUUCUGAACCUGUUAUUUUUGUGCCAAGAGAAUGUGCCAACAUUUAGUCAUAGAAGACCAAAUCCACAGUGACCCUUCCUAGAAGAGCCUUGAGAAGGCUCUGAAGAGGGCUGGGCUCAUGCAGGAUGUGUAAGGAGAGGUCUCUGACAUCUUCACUCUGCCCGACUGCUCUACUGGGAGAACGUAUUUUUCAAGUCAAAGAUUUUCAUUUGUUUUUCCUCUUUGCAUCUUUACUGCAGUUUAAAGAUGUAAUCUGGGAUCAAGAACCCAACAAAAAUGUGUAUUUUGUGGCUCACAUUACAUAGAUAAUCUGAUUAGAUCAUCACAAGGUUUCAUAUUAACCUUAAAAAUUGAUAUCUAUAAAGUAACAGAGUUGCAUAACAAAAAAUGCAAAUUCAAAACAUAAACAUAAAAAUACCUUUUAAAAAAUAUUAUAUACAUACAGAGUGGCAGCACUAAUACCAAUAGUGAAGCAGAAGUAUUUAAGAGGAAGGGGGAGUGACUUAGCAGGCUGUUUUUUUUUCCCCGAGAAGCAACUUUUAAAUCACUUUACGUGGCUCAGCAAUUGGGAAUCAGUAUCAAUAGGGAAGGAAAGAAAUAAGAAAUGUUUAGAAAUACUAAUGCUUCCAAACAUAAAUAUUGCCAUUUCUGUUUUGAUAAAUCUGUUCAAAUCCCUUCACAUUCCUGUGGAGGAGUAAAACAGCCUAAAGGUAAGACUUAUGAUGUAAAAGAGUGUUUUCUGUGACCUUGGCGAACCUAUGAACCGGCCAAGAAAGGUGAUGGCUCCAGAGGGCACAGCAUAUGUUUUGCUUUUCUAAUGUCCAGAAGAUUCAAUACAUCUGAAACAUAAGAGAAAAAUUUCCUGCAGGGCAGUAGAGAUAUCCUACUGACAAGAGGGAGCUGUAUUCUUUUCUCAUCACCUCAUAAACAGUGGGGUUCUGACGAAGGAUGUUAGGUAAUGUGUGCCAUAUACAGAACUCAAAGGGGGUAUUACUUUCAUUGUAUAACCCUUUAAGAUCUGAGCCAGUGUUGUUUAACAAAGCAUACUGUUUUUCUCUCUUGCUUUUACUGAGCUUUGAUGCUGAUUUUAGAACUUGACAGCUCUGUUUAGACUUGUCUUACAUCUCCCAUAUAGAGGAGUGGGGGAAAUAUAGAUGUUCAGGGCAGCAGGCAAAAUAAACUGCAUAAAAAGGCAGGAUUUGCCAUGGGGAAUUGUGGGAUAUGUCUGCAAAGCUAUUCUUCUAGCCGUCCUCCUUUGGGGAGGAGUUCUCAGACCUGUACUAGGUGCUGAUCCCUUAUACACUAGUUGGGAGAACCUCGUGUCUCAGGAGGGGAUUUGUUGCCCCCUUUAUGCCACUAUAGAAAAUAUUAUAGAAGGGUCAAGUGUGGUUAGGUGUCAUCCUUCAUAAGGGUAUUUGUUUGGGAUUGUGAUCCAGAAGAAUUAAGAGACCCUUAGGGCAGUCUGAUUUUCCUUGUAGCAUUCCUCUUUGUGACAGUACUUAAGUAUGAGUAUGUUGUGUGACAAAAUAAUUAUGGUGGAAAAAAUAUCCAUUAUUAAUGGAUUCCAGAACUGAAAAAGUCAGAACAUAGACUGCAGUAGCUGUAGAAUGAAACAAAAAUGUCUUUUGUCAUUACUUUCAAAUCCCUAACAUCAAACUAAAUUUAACUUGUAAAUAAUAUUAACCUGAUAAACCGCUAAAGUUCAUCUUUUAUAGCUUUUGAGAGAUGUGUAAAGUUCAUGUCUGUUCAGUAGCUGAGGUUUUUCAGAUGGCCUAUCUUUGAUUUAUUUGAAAACAGUGUGGACAUUAAGUAUCUAAAACAGAUGAAAACUGUGAAGUAGCCCCAUUUCUGUAGAUCUCCAAGGAGAAUCUCUUGAAAUAUUUCAGAAAAAUUCUACAGUGAGAACCAUGGUUUGGAGCCAAAAAAGGAGAAGACAGAAAAUCUAGGGACAUUCAAAGCUCUAAGGAAAUAGAAGUCAGACAGAAUCCUGUUAAAUGUCAAAAUAUCUUUUUUUUUUCUUUCUUUCUCUUUACUAUUCUCUGUAAUAACAGAAGACUGAAGAGUAUUCAUUCUUCUCAGCUACCAUAAAAAAGCAUGGCACUGAGGUCUCUUAGUGAAUUGUGUGGCACAAAAUUUAUUUGUUUUUUUUUUUUUCUUUGUUAGUGAGAAUAACAUUUGCAUAAUGUUUGAUUAAGCCAUAGGUCACUCGGGGAAGAGCUCCUGAGUUUCAGCAAGAUUAUAUCUAAAGGAAGAUGCAAAACUGCAGAUCACUUCUGAUGCUCUUCAUGUGCUAUGUGUGCAUGUUCUUGUUUCAAAGCCUGAGUGAAUUUGUUGAGCGUGAAGCCUUUAUAGCAGCUUCUCUGUAGGAAUGCUACCUCCCAAGACCAUAAGCAUGUCUAUUCUGUGAAUACACCUCCCUCGCUCUGAUAUGGAAUGUCUUCACCUUCAUUUUAACACCUUUUCUUCAGAAUUCAUUUGCUUUUGGCAGCUGAGGAAUAGGGCCUGAUGAGCAACCCUUGCCAUCUAUUGCACAUAUUUUGAACACAUCUUUACCUGGGUAUCAGAAACAAGGAUAACUUAAUAUUUGCCUCCAUUAACCGUUUCACAACUGAUCAGUUUACCAGAAAUGUCAAAUCAAUAUACUUUUAUGCCAAUAGAUUACUGUCUGUGAAUGGCUGGUAUCACUUCUAUCCUCUAUAAAUGGAACUUAGCAUUUCAUAGGUCUUACUUAGGCACUGAACACGGAACCUGUAAGUAUUCUCAUAGAACAAAAUAUAUAACAGAAUUCUCACUUCUGAUCUAAGAUGUUACACAAACAUCCUCUUUGUUUAGCCCCCAAUUUUGGGCCACCUUAGAGAUGGACAAUUUAAAAAGAUCUCAAACUAUUUUGCAAUAAUUUAGAUCCAGACCCAAACUUCAUUGCUUGAAGUGGUCUUCAGUUCCAAGCCACUGUCUGGUAGAAAUGUCUGGAAUGUGGAGUAUUGUAUUUACAAACAAAGCAAAAGAGUCCUUAAUAGCCGCUCCAUCAUUUAGCUAAACAAAAUCCUGUACCCACGCUAUCCUGGAAGAAGGGAAUGGUAAGGAUGGGAGGAAUUAUGGGAAAAAAAAAAGAUUGAAAUAAAACUGUGUACAUAGUGACCAGAAUUAAUCAUUUUGAGGCUUAGAACAAAGGUGAAAUAAAUAACUAAUUAAAUAAGUAAAAUAAAACCUCUGCCUUCAUCCCAUAAAACUCUUAAAAAGCUAGUAACAGAAUUCAGAGGGUCCAGUGUUCAAUUCCAAAGAAAACUCUAUGAAAGGCCAGGAAGCCAUUUCUGCUUGGUUACCCUUAAGCAAAGGAUCAAAGCAGAAAGGUAUCUCUUUUCCAUAUAUAACUUUGAAAUAUUUUAAGAAGCAAGUCAGAAAAUGGAUCUUAAGAACAGUUAUUCUUAGGCUGACUUGCAUCAGAGGAAUGAUUAAGAAAACUAUAAUAUCUCUUUGGGAGAUGUGCCUUUACCGUAUUGCACAGCAAACUUCAUCUGUCUCUUGUAAUUUUGGGUCUGUUUGAAAAAAAAAAAAAAAAAAAAAAAAAAAAAAAAAAACAAGAAAGAGCGGGACAGGUUUUUAUUGCCCUCUCUCAUAAGUCUUCCAUAUGCUUCCAUGUCCAUGUUUUGUUUUCAAUUUUAGUGAAGGUUUUUAUUUGGAGACUCAUAAAAUUCUACUUUAUUACAGCUUCUUUUUAUAAAAUGGAGGGGGUAGGAGGGAAAUAUUGAGAUAGCAUGUGCAAGGCAACCUCAAGGAAUGAAUUCGUGAAUUUAAAGCAUCAUUCAGCUUAUCAGCCCCUGCUUCAGUUAUUGGCAAAUACCUUUCCUCAUUCUCUAACCUGUGAUUAUAUAUUCUCACUGUGUAGAUAGAAAGUCUAAGUGACUUUACAAGCAUAUUAACGUACAUUCUUUUUUGAGGGGUAUGGAAUUCAAGUGCUGGACCUCUAAAAAUCUUAAAUAGGUCAUGCUGGUGCAUAAUAGGUGUACUAAGUGAUGGUAAAGAGAACUGUCUCCUGAAAAAUAUCUCUAAAAAUCACAUAGUCGUGUUAAAACUUUACGAUCUUGUGGGGCUGCAUUACUAGCUGUCCAGAACCUCAUGCAGCCUAAUGGGCCAUGUUUUGGACGUGCCUGGUCUAGAUGGGUUGAGCCUGGUGGGGAACAGAGCACUGAGUGCUCUUGAAUGUAGAUGGGGUUGUGCUUGACUUGGUCUGCAUUGUCACAUUUGUGAUUUGUUUAGAUAGCAAAACUAGUCAACAAACAUAUCCAGGUUCACCUGCAGUACCUGAUCCUGCUCUGUUUUCAGGAAUGGGUCAUGGUUCAGUCUCAGCCGGAGAUCUUGUUCUGGAGCAGGAUUU